UUUUUCUUGACAUUUAACUUUUAAAGUCUGUAAUACUCGAGGCUCGAAACCACAGCAUGUAAUAUUAGUUUCGUCCCAAGAAUCACUCGAACCUCCUAAUCAUUUUUUUUUUCAUGAUCGUUUUUUGUUAGGAAUAACGAAGCAAAAUUGAUUGAAGAA
rnacentral:sRNA from 1 species